UUAAGGAAAAUGUAUAUAUUUUUGCUGCAUUUAGAAAAUUAAUUAAUUAGUCUAUCAGAAAAACGUUUAUGGAUUUUGGAUGGAUCGGUUCAGGCUAUGAGAAAGUGUGCUUGAGUGAAGAAUUUGUGCUAGUUAGCCACAUUGUUCAUGCUUGCUCUUGCUCAUUCAUGUGUAAAGCAGAGGAAUUAGAGUUUUAAGUUUUAACUGAAAAUUUGACACAUGGACGAACGAUAAUACGACACGUGGCUUUGACUACUUUCCGCCAAGCGACAACUCUCGACGUCUACGGCUCCCUCCUAUUCCGCUGGAAAGCCCAAAGCACGAAGUCCAAAUUAGGGUAACGAUUCUUUCUGGCGUCGACAGAUCGCGCCGUCGAGAUUAAGACAAGGAGAUCCCUCGACCGCAGAAGUAACCGCCAAAGAGGGCGAUUGGGCUAAGCAGCGCUGACGACGAGGGGAACGUUCUUUAGAGGACAUGACGGGCUGCGUGCAAAAGUGGAAGACGUCUGCAGGCAUUAAUUGCAAGCCCUCAAACCGCCCCACAAGGGACAAGAAAGUAUUACGGAGAAGCACAGAGCCGUAGUAGGAGACUAAUUGGCUGAGUGAACAGUGCUGAUUAGUGGGCUACGUUUGGGCCUACCAAGGAAGAGCACUUAAGUGCUUUCACCUAUGAAGGAAACCUCCUAAGCGAAAGAAGCCCGGUAUAAAAGGAGGAAGACCCCAAGUAAGGAAGGGGUUCAGAGAUUCCAGCAAAGAGAAAAGAGAUCUAAUGA